rnacentral:rRNA from 1 species
UCUUGUGUACAGAGAGCUAGACGAAAGGAAAGGAGUGCUUCGUUACAGGUUAGGGCGUGCGUUGGAGGUGGGGCAAGGAGAGACGGGACGCGGCGGGGGAGGAGAACUCUUGCUCGUGCCGAGAACAGCGACACGGACCACCCCUAGGCCACGUAGGGGAGAGGGGAGCGGAGGAGGAGAGGACCCAGGGACGUAACGGCCGAGUCGGCGAAGGGGACGCAGAAGAGCAGGGGCGAAGAGAGGAGGAUCAGGUCAGGACCUGGUCUAGCCACAAACCGCGUCCUCCGAGCCCCACCAGCGUCCAAGCCCGCGGUAGAGGAAGGAAGGGCAUGUGACCCUAGUUUGUCGGGCGCCGGACCGCCACCGCCGGACCUAGGCCUCCGUCUGCCUGGUCUAGGACCUCGACCCGUGCUUCCUCGAGCUCCAGCUGCUGAGGCCGAAGCAGGAGGAGGAGAUUGCAGCGGUGGAACGAGUCGCGUGCGUCCGGACCUGCUACCGUUCGUAACUACACGCGUGCAGCAACGUUGUCGGUGUAGAGUUGGGAGGGCUGCGUGUGUUAUUAGUCUCCACGGUUUUACUAAACCACAAACGUUCCCAGCGAAAACAACGUAAAAGAUGUACUCUUUGGUAGAGUCCGAUAAACCUACGUGGACGUGUCAUGACUAUCAUGUACUUUAAGUAGUUGGACGACAACGGCGUUGGUUGGUUUUAGACGAGAUUGUCUCACUACUUAUGUUAUAAGUACGAUUCGAAAGAAGUUUAAUACGAUUAGCUAGAAUUUUUCGACCGAUGACCACAAUAAACGACGUUAAAUAAAGACUGUCGGUCCACGAAAAUAAAUACAAGUAUAAGGUGCAUACGUACACGACGAGGCCACCACAAAAUAAUCAACUAACCGUAUAUACCUAGAGAGGUACAAAUAAUCAACUAGAGGUUGGGGAUGAGACGACACCACGAUACCCUCGUUCUUCUCGUACGUACGAAAGAGAGAUGUAGAUCCCAGGUAUACCGGUCUAACUGCCCGGAUUUGAGACCGAGUUUCCAAAGAAAGUUCUUAGUACUCUCUUGUAAGUUCCUCACCUAAUAAACCUUUAAUCUUGGAAGUCUAAAGAAUCUUGAAGUGAGCCUAAAUACACUUAUAUUCGCAUUCUCCAGAUCACCGUUACGAUGUUUUAGUAACGUCCGCACUCAUAGGCCUAACGUGAUGACGACCGGCAAAGAACGGUAACGGAUGUUGUCCGAAGACUGUUUCGGUUCAGUACCGGAGUAAUCCGGGGAAAAAAGUCGGUUUGACUUUCGUGAAGUACAAUCGAACAUAAGCGAAAACCUAAUUGAUGUUACGUAACAUGGGUAGGUACGAGGUCCCUAUAUUAUUGUAACAUCUAUCUGCCUCUGACUUAGUCAAGUGUGAUGAAACUACAGAUAGCUCGGUUACCCUGUUGUUUCCAUCAAGAAAACGUGUUCAACUUCUUACAAUAAAGUAUGACGUGCUAUACAGACUGAGGAAAGUCACCCGUAAGUUAAUUAAACUCCGUAGGAAAGGAUCCUAGAAUGGAACUAUAAGGAGAUAAAAGAGGAUAAGCAGGGUACGAAAAAAUUCUUGACUUUAUUUAUAUUGGUCACAAUGUUUACAAACGGCUCCUUUUCAGGAACGUCUUUUCUUCUUGGCCUUCGUCCAAUAGAUAGAAGUGCUCGUUCAGCCGCAGACAUUUGGAAGUGGUCUCGGUAAGGUCGAGAAAGUCUCGGUGUUCCGUUCCUUCAACUCCUUGGUUCUGGGGUUGCCGCGCCUCGUCAAACGGCAGCUCUCCUGAUCCCGACGGUAGUCCCUGGAGAUCUGGUUCGAGUUGUAGAGGGAGCACGGAGGUAGUUGUGGCACAGAACCUCCCAGCAGCGGCAGGCGCUGCUGCUCGAUGACGGCGUCGAAACAGUCGGCGUGCCAAUCUCCCUCCGUAGUUCCCGGGCGGUGGCGACAGCCCCGGCUGCACGCACAUUAAAGAUAAUUACAUAGGAUACAACGGUUUGUUGUUGUACGAGGACAGUUACGAUAUAGCAACACCCAUACCGUAAAGUCAAAGAAGGAGUCCACUAUAAGGUUAUAUUAUUCAGGGUAGUUCUUAACGUACAUGUACACGACGAUAGGACUAGGUUUU